AAUCCACUCGGAAAUCCCUAAUACCAUAAACAUGUGAUUAAAAGUUUUCCAAAUAUGCUUUAAAACUCCACGAUAGAUUAGUUUAGAAUAGAGGGUCGCGUCACUCACAAAGGCUGCGUGAGUAUUAAGAUAUUUUUCAAUAUAUCUUUUAAUCCAUACACUUAUCAUGCGAUGCAAAUUCAUCAAUUUACCCUGGAAUUCCUAAACUAAUUGAAUAUUCGUAAAAUAACCCAAAAUAUAGUUCGAAAACCAUUUAAAUGAAGCUUAGCAUAAAGAAAGCGUCCUUCGGGAGGCCUGGGCGAGUGUCAAGCUAGAACGCGUUCUAUAACCAGUGAAUUCACAAUAUAAGACAACCAACCCCUUAUAUACACCAUGAAAGCCGUAAAAAGAUAUUUUAAUUAACAAACUAACCUAAAACACACAUAAAUAAAGCCUAGAACAGAAACGCGUCCCCUGGGAAGCCCGAAAUAAUGCCAAACCAUCAUAUAACGUAUCAUACAGCCCGCAAAACUCACAACACGAAUCUAAAUCAAACUCCCAAUAAAACUUAAAUCCCCUAACCAUCCACACCACACCCAAAACACCCCCAACACGCCCCUGGAGCCCCAAAAUGAGGGCAAAGAGUGCGAGGGUAACCCCGGGGCCGGCGCGGGCGUUCGAAGGCGCCGCGCCGACGUCCGAGCGGAGCUUGAGCAGGCCGCCGCCAGAAGGAUCAUAUUUAAAGGCGCCAUAUUGAUUUUUAUAAUGUUUGGAUAGGUGUGGUUGGGGAUGGAGGUUGCUCAGAGGAAAUCGGGGAAAAUGGAAUGACUCUUGAAGUCAAAGCACCCUAUUCAACCCUGCCAUAUGAUGCUUUGGCGUGAACCAUUCCGUGGAGAGGAAGCCAGUAUGACGUAAGACAUU